AAAAAAUAAUGUUUCAAAAUAUCCUAGUUGAUUUGGUAUAUUAUACUUUUAAAAUGAAUUCCUUGUAAUAAAUUGAACAAAAUAAUGUUUCAAGAUAUUCUAGUAGAUUUGGAAUUGGGAAACUUCAUCAACGUUAACAAAUUAAAAUGUGUAUUGAAAAAAAUACAUUGUUCAACAAAACUAUUUCAUUUAAAAUCAAUCCUACGGAUCAUUUCUAUGAAAGCCACCCUGAUGACGAAGAGCCAACUAAAGACGAUGAAGAAAUUACGAUUUAAAUUUUGUACUGAUCACUGAAGACAAUAAACAAAUUAAAACAACUAUUAUUUAUAUUUAAUUUAUUUAAUUUAUUUUGUUUAUAACUUUAUGAUUUUUUUUUUUUUAUUAAAUUACUAAAUAUGUCAGACAAAGUAAUCGUUUGAAUGAUAAACAAUAUAUUUAUUAUAUCAUUAUCAUAGUUGUGGUUAUAUUAUAUUAUAUUUUAUUUUUAAUAUACCUUUAAUGUAAUUUUAUUACAGUUUUAAUAAUAUUAGAUAAGAAAACAGCUAAAGUGAUUUAAUA